AUGAACGCUGGCGGCGUGCCUAAUACAUGCAAGUCGAGCGCACAGAUGAGGAGCUUGCUCCUCUGACGUUAGCGGCGGACGGGUGAGUAACACGUGGAUAACCUACCUAUAAGACUGGGAUAACUUCGGGAAACCGGAGCUAAUACCGGAUAAUAUAUUGAACCGCAUGGUUCAAUAGUGAAAGACGGUUUUGCUGUCACUUAUAGAUGGAUCCGCGCCGCAUUAGCUAGUUGGUAAGGUAACGGCUUACCAAGGCAACGAUGCGUAGCCGACCUGAGAGGGUGAUCGGCCACACUGGAACUGAGACACGGUCCAGACUCCUACGGGAGGCAGCAGUAGGGAAUCUUCCGCAAUGGGCGAAAGCCUGACGGAGCAACGCCGCGUGAGUGAUGAAGGUCUUCGGAUCGUAAAACUCUGUUAUUAGGGAAGAACAAAUGUGUAAGUAACUAUGCACGUCUUGACGGUACCUAAUCAGAAAGCCACGGCUAACUACGUG
rnacentral:rRNA from 1 species